UCACUUUCUACUUGAACUUCUCUACCGUGGGCAUACUGAUGGAAUGUCUCACAUCUGAAUACAAUGGCUGAAUCAGCGCCACUUGGAUUCACCUGUGCUAAUCAUUCAUGCUGAACACAGACAUCAAAUAAGCUCCCAGACUGAUAAGGCACAUCUUGCCAGCCAACUUGGACAGACGCUAUUGGAGGAAGAAUACAGUGACAGCAAAAGAUGACCCUGAUAUCUGCAAGCACACAACCUGAUGACAUCUCUGUGCAUUAUUGAAAAGGAAACCAUUCAGCAUGGACGGAUUUCAGUUUCUAUCUUGUUGAGAAUUUCCGAUAAUACAAUCCAUCUGCCUCCACACGUGUAACUAAAUAAGUCUCCUUCGAUCAAAACACUAUAGACAUUUUUGUGAAGUCUGAAAUUGCCACAUAAAUUGAUGCAUAAAAUGCUUUCGUAUCCUGCU